GGGGAAUAUUGCGCAAUGGGGGAAACCCUGACGCAGCAACGCCGCGUGCAGGAAGAAGGUCUUCGGAUUGUAAACUGUUGUCGCAAGGGAAGAAGAAAGUGACGGUACCUUGUGAGAAAGCCACGGCUAACUACGUGCCAGCAGCCGCGGUAAUACGUAGGUGGCAAGCGUUGUCCGGAUUUACUGGGUGUAAAGGGCGCGUAGGCGGGCUUGCAAGUCAGUCGUGAAAUACCGGGGCUUAACUCCGGGGCUGCGAUUGAAACUGCAAGUCUUGAGUAUCGGAGAGGAAAGCGGAAUUCCUAGUGUAGCGGUGAAAUGCGUAGAUAUUAGGAGGAACACCAGUGGCGAAGGCGGCUUGCUGGACGACAACUGACGCUGAGGCGCGAAAGCGUGGGGAGCAAACAGG
rnacentral:rRNA from 1 species